rnacentral:lncRNA from 1 species
CCUAGUUCGGCGUUUGGGAAGCAGAGGCCAUGGCUCCCAGGUAGAAAUGCCUGCGUGAAGCGGGUCCUCGCCACUGAGGGGCGGCCAGAGACUCUGGGAGGGCGGUUUCAGUGCCCCUCCCGCGCUGCCUCUGGCCAGGCGAUGGCGGCGACGGUUUCUUGGCUCCCCCGCCCCGGACGCCGAUGGCGGUUUGCCUGCAAUGAGACUUUAAUCUCUACACUUAAAGAACAUUCUUUCUGAGCUGCUGUGAAUAAAUUUGGAAUGAUAUUGUCUAUUUUCAACUAAUGGAGAACUAGCUGCAUCUUGAACAAGGAUUGCUGUAUUGGACAACUUCAGAACAUUGAUCAAAAUGUCAUCAAACAGGAGUCAGAAUCCUCAUGGACUGAAGCAGAUCGGUCUUGACCAGAUCUGGGAUGACCUCAGAGCUGGAAUUCAGCAAGUGUACACCAGACAAAGCAUGGCAAAGUCCAGAUACAUGGAGCUCUACACUCAUGUUUAUAACUACUGUACUAGUGUGCAUCAGUCCAACCAAGCCCGGGGUGCUGGAGUCCCUCCUUCCAAGUCAAAAAAGGGGCAGACUCCUGGGGGAGCUCAGUUUGUCGGCUUGGAGUUAUACAAGCGAUUGAAGGAGUUUU